CAAGUAAAGUGUAAUGUCUUU
rnacentral:miRNA from 1 species